rnacentral:rRNA from 1 species
CGAACGGGUGAGUAACGCGUGAGGAACCUGCCUCAAAGAGGGGGACAACAGUUGGAAACGACUGCUAAUACCGCAUAAGCCCACGACCCGGCAUCGGGUAGAGGGAAAAGGAGUGAUCCGCUUUGAGAUGGCCUCGCGUCCGAUUAGCUAGUUGGUGAGGUAAUGGCCCACCAAGGCGACGAUCGGUAGCCGGACUGAGAGGUUGAACGGCCACAUUGGGACUGAGACACGGCCCAG